AGCAUGGCUUGGCAAUUUAUCCAGAGAAGCAAAAUGACCGACAACAACGCACGGUCCUCAGGCAAAUCCUGUGGAGGAGAAAGGGCAAAGUCAUCCCAGUGUCUCGUUUUUGAGGGAACUUGUGGCUGCCAUGUGGACAGUACCAGGGGAUAUGUCUCAGCAGCCGGCCGGGAACUCUUGGCUGCAGACAGUUGCACAGCUCGUUAUCUUGAUGCCAAAACAAGAACCAAGGACCCUUUUCCACUAGGAGAACUCUCGGCAAGCAGGACUUGAGAC
rnacentral:lncRNA from 10 species